rnacentral:siRNA from 1 species
UGGAGAUGAUCGAUAUGGCUC